GUUGCGCUCCUGUUCCACGCCUGCGCAGCCUGCCACUUGCUGCAAGUCAGGGGACUCGGGCUGCAGCCCACCUACACGUGCAGCCAGACACGCACCGAGGCGCCGCCGCGCCGGGCGGCCAGCCAGAAGCCCAAAAGGACUUCGCCACCGCAAUCAGAUCACCAACUAGAGCACUCAAGCCCUAGAGCUGCACAGCACGUGCCGAGCAUGGAGGGGCAGCUUUCAUACCGCAAAUCAAAUCUCUCCCCGAAGCGAGCUCAGUUGUUUCUAGCGCAGUGAAGCGCCCAGGUGAAAGCACAAGUGUCACUUCCCACCACCGCGUCCCCAUUCCAUCACCUGCCGUGCUGCUGCUGUGGCUGCGGCGGUAGCCGGUGCCAGACCAUGCCCAUGAGCACCAGCAUCAGCACU
rnacentral:lncRNA from 1 species